GAUGAACGCUGGCGGCGUGCCUAAUACAUGCAAGUCGAGCGAACAGAUGAGGAGCUUGCUCCUCUGACGUUAGCGGCGGACGGGUGAGUAACACGUGGAUAACCUACCUAUAAGACUGGGAUAACUUCGGGAAACCGGAGCUAAUACCGGAUAAUAUAUUGAACCGCAUGGUUCAAUAGUGAAAGACGGUUUUGCUGUCACUUAUAGAUGGAUCCGCGCCGCAUUAGCUAGUUGGUAAGGUAACGGCUUACCAAGGCAACGAUGCGUAGCCGACCUGAGAGGGUGAUCGGCCACACUGGAACUGAGACACGGUCCAGACUCCUACGGGAGGCAGCAGUAGGGAAUCUUCCGCAAUGGGCGAAAGCCUGACGGAGCAACGCCGCGUGAGUGAUGAAGGUCUUCGGAUCGUAAAACUCUGUUAUUAGGGAGGAACAAAUGUGUAAGUAACUAUGCACGUCUUGACGGUACCUAAUCAGAAAGCCACGGCUAACUACG
rnacentral:rRNA from 1 species